rnacentral:snRNA from 1 species
CACUUGCACAUGGGUUAGUCG